AGCGUUUUGAGGGCCUAGGCUGUGAGGUCUCCACUGAGCUCCACUACCUGCGCACUCUCCUGUCCCACUCUCCCUGCUCCUGUCCUACUCUCCAAGCCUCCUGCUCCAGCACUCACCCUCAGAUAUCCAGAGGCAGGCUGCCAUCAACCACAACUCUCAGGAACUCUACCACAGUGCCUGGAGAGGAUGAUUGACAGCUAUCAGAUAAAGGACGACAUACUCAAACUGCAGAGGCCUCAGGACAUGCUCAGGUGAAAUUUAAGGUCAGAUGUUUCUGAGUUACAGAAUAAGCUUCAAACUAUAACAAUAUCGAAAGGCAAGGCUCCCAAUAAAACAGGCCGAACUGAACGAAUAGGACAGAGGGUUAUGCCAGCCAAUUCAGAUUCAGGCAAAGGAAUAUGUGCCAAAGGAAUGACACCAAUGAUCAAAGUGGAAAGCAGUGUGUCUGCCAG
ensembl:lncRNA